rnacentral:tRNA from 2 species
GGGCGGAUGGUUUAGUGGUAUAAUUUUCCCUUAGCAUCGUGGAGCCUCCUGGUUCUCACAGACCGCAUGGGAAAGGUCCGGGGUUCGAUUCCCCGUUCGUCCA